GGAAUAUUGGACAAUGGGCGAAAGCCUGAUCCAGCCAUGCCGCGUGUGUGAAGAAGGUCUUCGGAUUGUAAAGCACUUUAAGUUGGGAGGAAGGGCCAUUACCUAAUACGUGAUGGUUUUGACGUUACCGACAGAAUAAGCACCGGCUAACUCUGUGCCAGCAGCCGCGGUAAUACAGAGGGUGCAAGCGUUAAUCGGAAUUACUGGGCGUAAAGCGCGCGUAGGUGGUUUGUUAAGUUGGAUGUGAAAUCCCCGGGCUCAACCUGGGAACUGCAUUCAAAACUGACUGACUAGAGUAUGGUAGAGGGUGGUGGAAUUUCCUGUGUAGCGGUGAAAUGCGUAGAUAUAGGAAGGAACACCAGUGGCGAAGGCGACCACCUGGACUGAUACUGACACUGAGGUGCGAAAGCGUGGGGAGCAAACAGGAUUAGAUACCCGGG
rnacentral:rRNA from 1 species